rfam:Cavia porcellus supercont2_6 genomic scaffold, whole genome shotgun sequence.
GGUACUCUGUGUGUUUUGUUUAACCUUUGAACAAAAAAGUAAAUAUAUAAAAUAGGUAUAAAAAAUUUGUCCUCUUUUGAAACUCAGAACUCAUUGUUAAUUAUGAGUUUUGAUACAUAUAGAAAGGAAUAUU